UACGUAGGUGCGAGCGUUGUCCGGAAUUACUGGGCGUAAAGAGCUCGUAGGUUGUUUGUCACGUCGUCUGUGAAAUUCCGGGGCUUAACCUCGGGCGUGCAGGCGAUACGGGCAAUACUUGAGUGCUGUAGGGGAGACUGGAAUUCCUGGUGUAGCGGUGAAAUGCGCAGAUAUCAGGAGGAACACCAAUGGCGAAGGCAGGUCUCUGGGCAGUUACUGACGCUGAGGAGCGAAAGCAUGGGUAGCGAACAGGAUUAGA
rnacentral:rRNA from 1 species